GGAAGUUCCGUUGGUUGAGCUGCUUGGAGAAAAAGACACGAGAAAACAGAAGAGAAAGAAGAUAGAGAGAAAGAAAGAAAGAGAAAGAAAGAGAAAGAGAGCGUCACAGCAGCAGACAGACACCUGCUAUCUUGCGAACUAUUACUGUGAGACUGGAUAUGAGGGCAACUGCAUGCUGAAUUCCCAGCAAAAAAGCUGCUGUUUCAUCUGCAAGUCUGGGACUUCCUUAUCCAGGUGAAAGCCAAGGAACAAAGAUGCAGUCUGUUUACAUUAAACAGGAGGAGGAUCUAGAACUGGAGCCUGUCCACAUUAAAAAAGAGGAGACUGAACUUGAGC